GUUAUUACAUGUUAUAUUUCUUGUAUACAGUCUUAGUGUGUGGCAGAGUGACAACAAAUAGUAUGAGUUCGAUAGGCAACUGUUAACAGAAUGGUCCAUUGACUAUUUCAUUAAGACCUUACUGAGAUGUCAUUCUAUUCCAGACAAUGUGCUAAGUAUUUGACUUUAAUGAUUUUUUUAAAGUCAAAUAAAAUACCCUUGUCUUUGACGCAUGAACAGAUAACUGUAAUACAAUGUGACAAAUUCAAUAAUAAAGAAAUUCAUAGGGUUUUAUGGGGACACAGGGGAAGGGUACUUCUCAAAUCCAGGAGGACUUCCAGGAGGAGGUCCCAAGUUGAAUCCUAAAGAAGAGAAGAAUCUGGAUGAUGAGUCCUUUUCCAGUCCCCAGAACUCUGUUAUCCUUGCCAGGAGUAAGUUACAGAAACAGCAGACGAAGAAGUGGCAUUUGUGCAUCUGUGAGUAGGGACACAGAUUCAUGUAUAUGAUAAUUGCUUUUGCAUCUUAGGACUUCUAUCUAGAGGCUGGAUUAGUUAGAAACAAGCUUCCUUUUCAACUUUGCUUUCAUUUCAGCUUUUCCUCCUGCGUGGUAAACAUAAAACCCAUUCUGUAAGGGCUCUCCUAUUUCCUUUUAGGCACGAAGCAUAUUCUUAGAAGCAGCCUGCCGGGAAACAAAGGUUAAUUCUGCAGGGAAUGAAUUGCUAAAGCUGCGUUCUUAUUUGAAGUUUUGAUUUAUGGAAGCAACCGUGGGUUUUUCUUUGCUUUGCAAAAUUCUUUAAUGUCUCCAUUUCAGGCAGAUCCGUCGGCGUCACUCCACGCGUGGGCCAAAGUCACUGGCAAGAUUUUAUUUGACUCUGCUAUUCUUAAAAGGCAGGAGACAGGCUUUGUCAGGACUCACAGGACCUCUAGCAAGGGAUGCUCAGUUGGAAGGCUUCCGUCCCACUAGCCCAGCCAUGUACAGGGGGCUGUAAAGUCAGUAGGCAAGAACAAGGCUAACAGGAGUACUUAAAUAAGAGUUCCUGCGGCUGGUGCAUUUAUGAAAUAUCAGAAGGUCACAGAAGUCAGCCUCAAUUGGUUACUGUGCUAUUGAAGUGCUGUUGUGUUCCAGCUGUGAGCCUCUGACUGGCUCUAGCUGGUCUGUAAGGGAAUCAAGGUUGGUCUCAAAGGCCUUCCAAGGUUUUUUAUUGUUGUUGUUCCUAUAUAAGAUAUUGCUGUAUAACAUGGAUUGUUUGGUAGGUCUAAGAGGGUAUUAUGGUCUCCUCUUAUUCAAUUACGGUAUCAUAUUGAUUCAUUCACUAUGUGCCAGGGGUGAUCCCAAAUAGCACUAGACAAGCAGGGCUGCAACAUAUAUUUCUGAAGUUCUUGUACGACAUGCCGAAGAAAAGCGAGGGGUUGAAAUCCACUCGUCAAAGCUAUGAACCCAUGCAACCGGCAUCUACCAAGAAGAUGUGACUUUUUCUAACCCACCUUUUUGGAGAGGGUGUUUUUUUCUAAUUCACGCAGAGGUGCACAGGAAUCUAGUUUAGGCUAGCCUCUACCCUGUCUACAAGAUAAUCGUAGUUCUUGCACUCAUGAAGCUUUUAUCCUGUGUUAUGACACUUCUCCCAGGCCUCAGAUGAUUGAUCCAGAGUGGUGCGUGACUCUAGUUAAGAGUCAAUCACAUUCUCUUUCUCUCUGUCGGAUACCGUCAAUUUUGCCUGGGUAUUUCAAAAUGAGCUAAUAAAAAAAUAGUAAAGCAUGUUUUACACUGUAGUUCUUCUUUGUCGUUCUCUCCAAAACC
rnacentral:lncRNA from 10 species